rnacentral:rRNA from 1 species
UACGAAGGGGGCUAGCGUUGCUCGGAAUCACUGGGCGUAAAGCGCACGGUAGGCGGCUUUUAAGUCAGGGGUGAAAUCCUGGAGCUCAACUCCAGAACUGCCUUUGAUACUGAGGAGCUUGAGUCCGGGAGAGGUGAGUGGAACUGCGAGUGUAGAGGUGAAAUUCGUAGAUAUUCGCAAGAACACCAGUGGCGAAGGCGGCUCACUGGCCCGGUACUGACGCUGAGGUGCGAAAGCGUGGGGAGCAACAGG